GACGAACGCUGGCGGCGUGCCUAACACAUGCAAGUCGAACGGAGUUAAUGAUUUCGGUUGUUAACUUAGUGGCGAACGGGUGAGUAACGCGUGAACAACCUGACCCAAAGAGGGGGAUAACAUUUGGAAACAGAUGCUAAUACCGCAUAAGACCACAACGUCACAUGGCGAAGGGGUCAAAGGAGCAAUCCGCUUUGGGAGGGGUUCGCGUCCCAUUAGGUAGAUGGCGGGGUAACGGCCCACCAUGCCAACGAUGGGUAGCCGAGCUGAGAGGCUGAUCGGCCACACUGGAACUGAGACACGGUCCAGACUCCUACGGGAGGCAGCAGUGGGGAAUAUUGGGCAAUGGGGGAACCCUGACCCAGCGACGCCGCGUGGGUGAAGAAAUCCUUCGGGAUGUAAAGCCCUGUUGUAUGGGAAGAGCGGAAGACGGUACCAUACGAGGAAAGCCCCGGCAAAACUACGUGCCAGGCAGCCCGGUAAACAUAACUCGUAA
rnacentral:rRNA from 1 species